CCACAGGUAAAGUCCAGCCCCCAAUGCUGGAGACAAGGUGAGGAUAAACAUUAGGCUGAAACAAAAACUGGAGUGUGGCUCCAAGGCAAGACAGCAGGACUACGGCACAGAAGGACCACAGUUCAAAGGCUCUGUCUGGCACUUGUGAAAUGGCCAUGCCUGGCCAUCUGGAUGGCACAGUGCGAAUCGUGACACCUAUGUUUCACCAGUACCCCUCCCGUCCGCCGUAUGAAAGCUGACAUUGUCUUGUUGACCUUUCCCCUACAACAUGCCACCGCAGCAAGGUCUCUAGUAUGACUCCAAUGUAGCCGAGGAACCACACCACAACCACAUCAGGAACCAUUUCCCUAAUCCGGUCCACGUUCCUCUUCUGUUUCUGAACAGCUGUUUUCCUGCUUGCCCAAUAG